AGGUAACGUUACUCAUUUUAUAACCUUUAUGGUGUUAUAGUCAAUCGUGCUUACGUAGCCACAUUCUUCUAUUAGCUCUGUAAAACAAUGCUAAAUGCGUCAGAGAAGUAUUAUCUUGUGUUGCAUUUUGAAGCUACCCCAUGGCCUUAUGACUCUCAAGUGGUGCAGCGGUCAAAGGCACAGCACAUCAGUACUAGAGGCGUCACUACAGACUCCCUGGUUCAAAUCCAGGCUGCGUUUCCAUCAAAAAACCAGAAACAUUAUUUGUCAAUAUCAUAACUGGAGCUGGACAUCUUUGGAGCUGAAGAAUGAGGACAGCUUUUGUAUGCUAACGUACACUCCUUAACAGUUGUACUGGAUGAAAACACAGCAAGAAAACACAUAUGCCAAUAUGCAUAGUAUCAUGGCUGCAACAACACUGAAUGGCGCAGAGUGGGAGGUUACGUGGUUGACUGCCGGCACGCGCUACUUGUAUCAAUAAAUCACUAUCAGAAAAUGUUUUGUGUGGUAAUUAUUUGUGUAUUUACGAUUUUAUUCACAUGUUUUCAAUUCUAGGUGACAAAUCAUGCAUUCCGAUUCUUGCACAGAUUGUAAUGGGCACAUAUUAUGUGUGUAAAAUACCUUUUUGAAGGUUGUACUGAUUAUGAUGAGCUAAGCUAAUUCCAGCUGUGUAUCCAUGUUUGUUGACAUACAAUGCAUUCUGGGAUUCACGUCUGUUUGACCAAAGAUGUUAUAACAAAAUGAGGUGAGUAAGAGUUCACUAAUUUUUUGAGGACUUACGGAAAUUCAUGGUGGGAUGUGAACGACGGUAGAUGACACACCCCUUCAACAUGCAUACUACAAACAGACCAAACUCAUCUAGUCUUCUCUUAUUAUCUUCGGUUUCUGUGAGGAAAAAAUGCAUGGCUGCGCGCUGAAACUAAUGUCGGAUUACUUUCGAUUUCUAUAAAGUGUUUUACCUAGUUAUUUCGAUCAAUGGUGAGCUCACUCACCCGUGAUGUGAUUAAUUAUAUACAGUAAUUGCUAUUAGCUAAUUCAUAUUGUAGUUUACGUCAGCCGAGAGUUAGAAAAUAUGACUGCUUGUGUUGGGUCAAUCUUUCCUCAGCGCUAGGACAAAUGUAGCCUACAUUUUUCCGGUUAGGAUGAUUGUGUUAUGCUAUAUCUUCUGUGAAUAUCUGAACAAUCCAUCCAAAAAUAAACUGCUGACAUUCUGGA